rnacentral:lncRNA from 1 species
AGAGAAAUAGUGUUUCAUUGCGUCUGUGCUCAGGGAAUGAUCUACUAAAAAUAUAUAUAUAUAUACAAAAAUUAGCCGGGCAUGGUGGCGUGGGCCUGUAAUCCCAGCUACUUGGAAGGCUGAGGCAGGAGAAUUGCUCUGGGUGACAGAGCAAGACCUCGUCUCAAAAAAAAAAAAACAAAAAACAACAAACAAAAAGAAAUAUUAUGUCUUUCUUUCUUUUUCUUUCUUCCUUCCUUCCUUUCCUUCCCUUUCUUCCUUUCUUUUCUUUUCUUUCCUUUUUCCUUUCCUUUCGAGACAGAGUCUUAACUCUGUCACAAGGCUGGAGUGCAGUAGCAUGGUCAUAGCUGAUGGAGUCUCACUAUACUGGACCUGUGCUCAAGCCAUCCUCUUGCCUCGCCUCCCAAAGUGUUAGGAUUAUAGGCAUGAACCAUCACACCCAGCAAAGCAUUAUGUUUCUGUGACUUUGAGGAUCUUAAGUAAUGUGACUAUUUUCAUUUUUGUCUCUUUCCUUUAAGAGUUUAAUGAAGCGGUGCCUUUGUCCCUUGCAGGCACUCGAGGACCUAGGCCGAAGGAGGCUCUGUCAUUUUUAACUCUUGGCUUCCAAGGGCUCUUGAGGCAUCUCCAUCCAGUGAGACAGAAGGGGACAAGAGUGUGGAGGAGCACUCAAGAAAGGGUGUUAGGGGCAAGGCCUGGUAGAGAAACACAACAUUUCUGGGUGCAUUCCAUUGGCUAGAACCCGAUGCAGAUUGUAUAGCAUCUUCACUUAGCAUCCUCCCCCUAGCACCCUCCACAUGGCAACCCUCAUUUCUUGAGUUACUGCUGUCAGGUGU